rnacentral:tRNA from 1 species
GAGCACUUCCUUGGUAAGGAAGAGGUCACCGGUUCGAUUCCGGUUGUGGGCUCCA